rnacentral:pre_miRNA from 1 species
UUAAUUUAAAUUACUGUGGUUCUACACUUUGAAAAUUGAAUCCACACAAAGUGGUGAGACAUACAUUGAUUUCAUCCAA